rnacentral:tRNA from 1 species
GGGCCAAGCUCAUGGGUUUGAGCGCCGAGGAUUUUAAUCCGCGGUACGCCUCGGAGGUUCCCGGUUCGAUUCCGGGAGGCCCA